UAAGAAGAGAGCAAUCCAGCCCGCCUACUACAAAAUAAAUAAAUAAAAUUGGCAAAACUAACCAACGGUUCAGUCGUCUUCUCCAUCACCACUUCUCCACCCUUCGAUCAUCCUCUCGCGCGCUCAGAAUUACAAAUUCCGCGAAAUCCCCACGCAUCAAUAUCCGGUUUUUUUUGAUCGAAUGGCCGACGGACAGCCGUCGCAGAGAGCAGGCGGUAGCCCUGACCCCAACGCCCAUGUUUUUGAUUCGGAUAAGUUGUUACCGCGCGGGAAUGUUACCCAGCUUAUGAGGAAGGCACUGCCUCCGGACGCAUGUGUUUCCAUGGACGCCAAGGAGAUGGUACAAAUAUGCGCGUCUGAGUUUAUUAGCUUCGUCACUAGCGAGGCUGCUGAAAAGUGCAAACGCGAAAAUGGAAGGAAAGUCACUGCAAAUGAUUUGCUAUGGUGUAUGGCUUUAUUAGGUUUUACAAACUAUAUAGACC